CUGCUGCCUUCCGUAGGAGUCUGGUCCGUGUCUCAGUACCAGUGUGGGGGACCUUCCUCUCAGAACCCCUACGCAUCGUCGCCUCGGUGGGCCGUUACCCCGCCGACUAGCUAAUGCGACGCAUGGCCAUCCUAUGCCGGAGUCGCCUCCUUUGACCCCCAAGAAGAUGUCUCCUAAAGGUGUUAUGCGGUAUUAGACGGAAUUUCUUCCGCUUAUCCCCCUGCAUAGGGCAGGUUCCAUACGUGUUACUCACCCGUGCGCCGGUCG
rnacentral:rRNA from 1 species